rnacentral:lncRNA from 1 species
UUUCAGGCUGUGGGGGUGCUGGCGUUGGAGGUGGAGGGUGGCUCCGCCGGCUGCCGAGGCUCCGCCUGUUGUUAACAUUGUUUCUGCUGCUGAUGUUGCCCAUGAUGAAGUUUUGGGUUGGGUUGGACUGUUUCUGUCUUUUUUAGGUUCACAGUUUGCUAAAAAAACAGGUGAGAGAAUUAUCCAGUAGCUUUGUUUAGCUGUAACUGACAGAAGCGGAUCUGGAACUUUCAACGGUUCUGUUUUUUGUUUUAUUUUUGUUUUAAUGGCAAUCAUAGAAAGGAAGGAAACGAAGGGAAAGUUUUCGGUUAGGAAGGAAAUGGAGGGAAACAACGAGGAGAUUUUUUAUUUCUGCUUUUGUUUGCUGUUUAUACAACAACAACAAGGAGAAGAGAGGGAGGAGGAGGAGAAAUGAUUUUGCAAAAAGAGAAGAACACGAGGGAUGAAGAGAGGAUGGAGGAGGAGGAGGAGGAGGGGAAUCUGGGGGUGGGUGGUAUAAUGGGAUUGCGUAAAGCUCCACCCACAAUCAGAUCAUGCCAAAGUUGGCUGCUUUUUUUUCUUUUAUUAUUUUUUUUUCAUUAAUUUAUUGAUUAGUGGGAAAAAAUUUCAACUUUUUUAGUUGGAUUUGUUAUUAUCUAAAAGAGCAAAACAAGUUGGUAUUAUUAUUUAUUAUAGUUUGAGUGCGGUUGUUUAUAUUUGUAAGUGUAUUUUUAAGAAUAUUUUAUUUGAAAAAAAAAAUUAAAUUAAUAUUAUUUUUAGUAUUUUCUUAAUAGUUUUAAGGUGUUAAUAUUAAAAAUAAAAAAUAUUUUAAUAUAAUUUUAAAUGAAAAGUAGUUUACACUACAUUAUUAAAUACCCAAUCAAUACUAUUAAUUUAAAGUAUUGAGGUUCCUAUUAUAUUUGUAUCAUAUCAUAGUAAUUGUUUGAUUAUUUUCUCCAGAUAAAUAAGAAAAAAAUAAUAAAAAAAAGGGCAUGAAUUUUUAUCUAUUUUUUUUAAAGUAUAAAAAAUUACUUAAAAAUGGUUCCAAAAUAUAUGUGUAUGUGUGUGUUAUAUUAAUAUCGAAGUAUUGUUGAUGGAUUGAUCAUUGAUUCUUUAAUCAAUAUGCUAUUUGUCUUUUGUUUUAUCUUUUAUAUAAGAAAUAAAUUACAAUGAGAAACUGAAUCUCGAUUAAAGAUAUAUAGCAGCCUUAUAAAUCAAAGUGAAGUGUGGAGUUCUAAACUUAACUUUCAUAGGUUAAAAGUACAUGAGAAAGAUAUGUAAUAUGCAUGAAAAUCUUAGCCUAACCCAAUAUAUCCAACAUGCUCGGAUAAGAACAAAAUGAAUAGGUCAAGUAUAUAUUUUUUAAAAAUAUCAAAAGCUGGGUUAGAUAUAAUUAUAGGUCAAAACCCAACCCACUAUAUUUAUAAACACACAUAAUUAAAAUUAAGUAAAAAUAGUUUAUUGAUCAUGUUUAUAAUGACAAAACUUACUCUAACACUACCAAAUAUGAUGAUGGAAAGGUUAAAGUACAUUGUUUUUUUUUUUUAAUAUUAAAGUUAAUGUAUAAAUUAAAGAUGAGCCUAAAAUAACCUAUAUGCAUGAAAGUUUAUUCAAAGAUUAUUAUAAUAAUAUGAUACCGUUACUCCAUGCUUAUAAAGAUUGUUUUGCUUGGGAUUAUGAUGAGAUUCUUGAGCUAGCCAUAAGUUUGAUCAAACAUCCAUUAUCAACCUAACUUGGGUUUAAGACAUAAAGCAACAUCUUUUGAGAAUGACUUUAUGUGUGAUUGAUCAUGUAAAAAAGGAAAUAAAAUGAAUGUUAAAGGAUGGAUUCAUUAAGCCAACUAGAUAUGUUAAAUAGAUUUCUAAUAUUAUGCUAAUACUAAAAAAAAAAUGGAAAACUAAGAUUUUAUGUAGAUUUAAUAAAUCUUAAUUUUAUAACAUCAAAUGAUAAAUAUCCAAUGUCAAUGACUAAUAUAUCAAUCGAUUCAAUAGCAAGGAAUGACAUCUUUAGUUUUAUGAAUGGCUAUUCAGGUUAUAAUUAGAUUGUCAUCACUAAAAUGAUGUUUCAAAGACCGUUUUUAGAUGUCCUGGCUCAUUAAAAAUAUAUGAGUAGGUAGUUAUGUCAUUUAUCCUUAAUAAUAUUAGUGUUACUCAUAACAAGCUAUGAUUUUGUUUUUUCAUAACAUAAUUAAUCAUAACAUAGAGGUCUAUAUUAAUGAUGUUAUGAUGAAAUAAAAAUAAAAAUCUAUUUAUUUAGACAAGCUAUAUUAUAUCCUUAAGUGAAUGCGAAUGCAUAAUCUCAAGAUAAAUUCAUUAAAAUAUGCAUUUUGUAUGCAUGUAUAGGGGUAGACAAAAACAAAGUAAGGGGGGUUAUGAAAGCUUGAUCUCCAUAAAUAAAAAAGAAAUUGUAAAGCUUUGUAAAUAAAAUUAAUUUUUUAAAGAGGUUCAUAUCAAACUCUUUAAGAAAGAUUAUGUCAUUUACUAAACUACCAAGAUGGAAUAACAUAUAUAAGUUUCAAUGGAUUAAUAUCAAAUUGCAUUUCAAGAAAUAAAAACUUAUCUAACUAAACCUUUAGCAUUAACCAUACCAAAGCCUAUGAAGCCUUUAAGGCUAUAUAUUUUAGUUGUACAAGGGUUGAUUAGAAAAAUGAAAUUGGCUAUAAACAAGCUAUUAAUUAUCUCGAUCAUGUCUUUAUAGAGGAUGAAGAAUGAAAUAUUUUAAUAGAAAAACUUUGUUUAUCCUUAUGUUUUAUUGGUGUAAAGUUAUAUUGGUACAUACUAAUAGUUAAACUAUGUAUACUAUAAAAUAAAUUUGAUAAAAUACAUAUUAUCCAAACCUUUCUCUCACGAUCAAAUUGGUAAUUAGAUAUUAACAUUGUUUGAACUUGAUUUACAUUGUAUUCCAUAAAAAAUAGUAAAAGUCAAGCUUUGACUAAUUUAUUAGUUGAUCACCACUACCUUGAUAUCGACAAUGAACUGGAAUAAGAUAUGAAUGUUGUUAACGCAAGACUUGUUUCACAGAUGUUAUGGUUUGAUGGAUUAAAAACAAAAAAUAAAGCUUGUGCAUAUGUGUUAAUAAUUUCUCUAAAAGGUCAUAAAAUGAUUUUAUUAUUUUAGCUUCAUUUUUCUUAUACUAAUAAUCAAGCUAUAUAUAAGGCCUUAGUCAUAAUUUUAAAGAUACUUAUAGAUUUAAAAGCUUAAUAAGCUAGAGUAACAAGAUAUUCGUUACUUAUUAUAAAAAAGUUGGCUAGUGAGUAUACAUGUGAACACUAACUUUAUAUUAUACGGUAAACAAACACUUUAUUAAUAGAUUUCCUAAUUUAAUUAUUUUUUUGUAAGAGGAAAUAGUAUAUAAACCAAUAACUUGGCUGAAUAUGGAUCAAGAUUAAAAUGGUCAUCGCUCAUCAUGACAUUAUUUAUAUGAGGAUUAUUAAUUGACUAACAUAGAUAAUAUACAUUAAGGAUAUGAUGAUAAGAAAAGGUUCAUAUUAUAUAGUAAGAAAAGCACAAAAUAGUAAGAUAAAACUAUUGUAAAACUUUUCUACCAAGUAACAAGUAAAAUGUCUCAAUAAAUCAAGUGGCAUUGAUCCACAAAAUAAUUAAGGAGAAGAAAUCAAAUCUUAUGUGUAGUAUCCUUCAUAAAAAGUUUAAGGUUAUUUAGACUAAAUGUAUUCAAUUAUAUUUUCCUUGAAGAUGAAUUAUGUAAAAGAUAUAAAACUAGAAUUUUUCUUAGAUAUUUAGGACCAAAAGAAGAAUUAUUAGUCAUGAUUGAUGUUUAUAAAGGACUUUUUAGGGUUGUUGAUUACUCAAAUAUUAUUUUGAUAAAUAUGAUACCAGUUUAUCAUUUCUAUAUUCUAAUUGGGAGAAACUAUACAAUAGGAACUUAAUCCUAAUAAGAGACAUCUAAAAACCUCAUAAAAUCAAGAAAAAUAUAAGGAUUUAAGAGUUCAAAGCUUUAAAAAAGGUAAUUUCCUUCAUAACAACACCACAUAAGGAAAAUAACAUGUUUAAAAUGAAGAAGAUAAAUAAUUUGAAUAAAUCUAUUUGUAGGAAAAUAAAGCAAAGCCGUAAAGAAAGCAAUAAAAACCCUUCAGAGGAAUAUAUAUAUAUAUAUAUAUAUAUAUAUAUAUAUAUAUAUAUAUAUAUAUAUAUAUAUAUAUAUGUUCUAGUUAUUGUUCAAAGUGACUAUAUGACGUUUUAUAUAUUGAUACAAAGUUUAAAUCUUGUUUAAACAUGUAAAUCCUAAUUUAUAUAAAUGUAUAAGUAAAGAGACUUUAUUAGAUUAUAAUGCAAUCUAAAAUCCUUAUUUAUUGAUAUUAUAUGAAUCAUAAGUUAAACUUAUGGAUUCUUACUGGUUAUUCUAUUAAUGACUCUUACACUAAAUAAUACUAGGCUCGCUGUAAUAGAGAUAGUGUGAGAGAGCUAUGUAAAGAAUGUAAUAUUGUACCAUGUAGAGAUCUCAAAAGGAAUGGUGUUUUUCAAUCAAGCAAAUAUGGAAUUUGAGGCAAAGCCAAGAGUUCAUAAAAGGGUCUGGUUAAUGUUUCAAAAAUCAAUAGGUGUCCUCGUGGGUGGGAAUCAUACCUCCUCCAGGUUUUGCACUCGCUAAGUCCCCUAGCUUUCUCUUAGCUUGCCUUAUCUCUAUUUUGAUUGCUAUUUUUUUUAUUAAAGACUCGAUCUUUUUGAAAAAAACUAGUAAAACUUGUCUUUGGCACCACUCUUGUGGUUGAAAGUGAAAGAAACAUGAAUUUGAAGGCCUUGAGAUGCCAGAUACUUAGUGGAUCCAUAGCCAGACGUGUACUUCUACGAGCAUUUAUGCUUGCCACGGAUAUUUCCAUCAUUCCUUUGUUGCAGAUCUUGUCUGGGUCUGAUCCUGGGUUGUUGCUUGAUUCUGUGAGGUACAAGGAAUGUGAUUUCCCCCUUAUGUUUAUGGGCUCAAAUUUGUUAAAGAAUCGAUUUUUAAAGCCAAUCUGGGGCACAAUUGACUGCAAGGACGGUAUGAAUGUGACAACUAAUGUUGCUAGAGAGCUAAUGGGUAUGCAAAUGAUAGAUUCUAUGAUGUACAUCAUGGGAAUUAUAAUCCAUCUCGUAAAGCUAAAUCUAAUAUGCAAGAGGAUUUAGAUGGUCCAAUGACAAGAGGGAGAGCGAAACAACUACAACGGGCCUUGAGGAAUCAAAUUGCGAUGAUUGAAGCUGCGUCGAAGUUAAAAAUUAACAAUCAGUUUGAAAUUGGUUCAAGGUGCUUAUUUGCCUACAAUUGGAAAUUGGAGAUGGGAAAAGCCCUUAAUGGUUCUUUUCAUGCUGGCUACUUGUAUUUGGAUUGAUAAUGCAAGUGAAGGAAUUGAUGUUGUUUACGGUCAGAACAGUAGAUGGAUUUGAACCCGAAUUUGAAGUCAUCAUGCAUGUGAAAAAGAUUUAUCUAGGUAAAAUUCAAGUUCAGAACGUGAUCUUUUCUAUUGUCCAACCAUGAUUGCAUUGACUUUUGUGUCAAAAGUUAUGGCUAUUUUAAAUUUGGCUGCUUAUGUUUCAGAAAUGUAAAAAAAAAUGUUAUUAGUUAAAUUUGUCUACUUACUUUAUUAAAAGUCUAGUUUUUAGGCUUGACUUCUGUCAUGUUGAAUUCCUAACUUUAGAGGGAUGUUCCAAUAAAUAUAGUAUCAGAAUAUGUAAUAAACUUUUGGCCAAGAUUUGAAACUUAAUUCAGAGAAUUAAAGUUGUUCUUCCAAAUUGUUUUGUGAAGAACCAUACCUAACUUAUCACUCUUCAAUCACAAAGAGUGUGGCAUCGAAAUCCUAGAUUGAUCUUUGUGGCAUCCAGAUCAACUUAUCAAAGUAUCAUUCUAGUCUAUCCUCCAUCUUAUUUAUCUUAAAAUCACUACAAUCCAGCCUAAAUACCAAAAGAAAGACAACACAACCAAACUUAUCCUUCAUCCAUUUUUGUUAGAAUCAUUGUUGCUGAUUUUCAAAUCAUUCAUGGUAUAUCAUCUGGUAUCAGAGCAUCAGUUGCGAUUUAAGAUAGGAGCCAUAAACAACAACAACAAGAAGAAAGGUUUGCUGGAAUUGAGGUUGAUAAACUUAAUUAUGGCUGGAGAUAAAGAAGAUUUUCCAAGAGGGUUAAGUUUGGAACAUGCAUAGGUUAUGGGCUUACAAUGAUCUCAUGCUGAGAUUCGAGAUGAAAUGACUGGAAUUCGUGAGCAGUUGAAUACCUUUAUGCAAAUGAUGCAAAUAAAUAAUUUGCAACCCAACAGAGGCAAGCACUUAGGGUGCCACGAAAUGAUAUUAUAGAAGUUGACGAAGAUCCAAAUGGGGAUGAUGAGGCUGAUGAUAGGGUCAAACCAAGAAGGCAUAAUUAUAAUCCUCCUAAUGGUCUCAAAUUUAACAUUCCACUGUUUAGAGGAAGUAGUUCACCUGAGGAAUACUUGGAGUGGAUUCAGAAGGUUGAAAAGGUGUCUGAAUGGUAUGAAUAUUCUAAAGAAAGGAAGUGCAAGGUGGCAGCACUUGAGUUUACAUAUUAUGCUUUUUUAUGGUGGGAAAACUUAAAGAUUCAAAGGAGAAGGGAUGGAGAAAAGGAGAAGGGAUGGAGAAGAGGAGAUUACAACAUGGGUAACUAUGAAAAGAGUGAUAAAGAAGAGAUUUAUUCCUGAUUAUUAUAAAUAGGAGCUAUACAUCAGACUUCAGACUUUGCGACAAGGAUCUUUGAGCGUGGAAUAGUUUGAGUUGCUUCUGAUUCGAUGCGAAUUGAUGGAACCUCAAGAGCAAACAAUAACUAGAUUUCUUGAAGGGUUGAGGAAGGAUAUAGCUAAUGUUGUUGAAUUACAGCCGUACAUCUUCCUUGAGGAAGUUAUAAAGCUUGCAACCCGAGUAGAGAGGCAGCAGAGACGAGGAGGUGUCCGAACUGGUGUAACUAUGUCAAGCACGACAAGGGUUGUUUCUACGCCUACACGAACAUGGAGCACACCUAAACGAGAUGAGAAGGUGGAGUUUAGCAAGGGGAAUACCAGUUCUAAUUCUUUGAAGGAAAAGGAGAAGGUGACAGAACCUCAACAUCCUAAGAGGUCUCGGGACAUCAAGUGCUUCAAGUGCUAGAACAUGGGCACAUUGCUUCGAGAUGUCCAAAUAAAAAGGUGAUGAUUUUGUAUGGGGAUCAUGGAGAGCUGAUCGAUGGAGAUGAGGUUGAAACUAAAGAUGAAAAUGAGGUACAAGUGGCUGAACAAAAAGAGGAUUUCGAACUAGUGAAGGGAGAUUUGUUAGUUGUUCAACGGGUUCUGAAUGCACAAAUUAAUGUUAGUGAUGAGUAACGCGAGAACAUCUUUCAUACUCGAUGUCAAAUUCGAGAUAAGGUGUGUGGGAUGAUCAUUGAUAAUGGAAGUUGCACUAAUGUUGCGUCAACUACCUUGGUGGAGAAAUUGGGUUUAACUACCCUUCCACAUCCCAAGCCAUAUAGUUUGCGAUGGCUGAAUGAGAAUGGGGAGAUUCGGGUGACAAAGCAAGUUCGUGUACCUUUUUCCAUUAAAACCUAUCACGACGAGGUUUUGUGUGACGUUGCGCCAAUGUCAGCUAGCCAUUUGUUGUUAGGUCGUCCAUGGCAGUUUGAUAAGGAUGUGACCUACAAUGGACGAAAGAACACUUAUUCUUUUAUGCUGAAUGGAAAGAAGGUGAACUUGUUACCACUGAGUUCUCAACAGGUUAGAGAGGAUCAGUUACGAAGCCAACAAAAGGAGGUGACAUCACGAAAGGGAUGUUGUUAGCAAAAAAAGGAGACAUCAAACAAGCAUUAGCCACGAUAGGGAUUGUUUUCAUGGUCUGGGCAAAGCAACUACUACAAGUAGAAGGAUUGGACUUACCAAGACAGAUUAAGGAAUUACUUGAAGAAUUUAAAGAUGUGUUUCCAGAUGAAUUACCUAAAGGGUUACCACCUAUUCGUGGAUUGAGCAUCAAAUUGAUUUGGUGCCGGGAGCUUCACUUCCUAAUAGACCAGCAUACAGAUGUAAUCCAGAGGAAGCGAAAGAGAUUCAAAGGCAGGUCGGUGAGCUCUUAGAGAAGGGCUAUGUGCGAGAAUCACUUAGUCCAUGUUCCGUACCUACUUUGCUUGUACCGAAGAAAUGGUACCAUGAGGAUGUGUAUGGACAGCCGCUAUCAACAAAAUAACAGUUAAGUAUCGAUUUUAUACCCAGACUUGAUGAUUUGCUUGAUGAGUUGCAUGGUGCUGCAUUGUUUUCUAAAGUCGAUUUGAUGAGUGGCUAUCACCAAAUUAGAAUGAAAGAGGGAGAUGAAUGGAAAACAACAUUUAAAACUAAACAGGGGUUAUAUGAAUGGAUGGUAAUGCCGUUUGGGUUAUCUAAUGCCUAGUACAUUUAUGAGGCUUAUGAAUCAUGUUUUAAUGAAGUAUAUUGAGCUGUUUGUUGUAGUAUAUUUUGACGACAUCCUGGUGUAUAGCAAGACCUUUAAUAAUCAUGUGAAACAUCUUAGAAUUGUGUUUGAGACUUUGCAAGAUUCUAAGUUGUAUGAGAAAUUCACAAAGUUUUACUUCUAUAAAGAAAGUGUCAUGUUUCUUGGAUAUAUUAUCUCUAGCAGGGGAGUUAGAGUUGAUGAGGAGAAAAUUAAGGCAAUUCGAGACUGGCCAAAACCUGCUAGUAUCGCUGAUGUGAGGAGUUUUCAUGGUUUAGCUUCUUUCUACAGGCGAUUUGUGAAAGACUUCAGCUCUAUUGUUGCUCCUAUGACAGAAUGCUUGAAAAAAGGCAAAGAGUUUAGAUGGAGUGAAGAUGCGCAGAAAGCUUGUGAGCUAAUUAAGGAAAAGUUGUGUACUGCUCCAGUUUUAGCACUUAUAGACUUUGCUAAAACAUUCAAAAUAGAGUGUGAUGCUUUCAGGGUUGGAAUUGGUGCUGUUUUGAUGCAAGAAAAGAGGUCGAUUGCAUUCUUCAGUGAAAAGUUAAAUGGAGCACGUUUGAACUACUCUAUUUACGACAAGGAGUUCUAUGCUUUGAUUCGGGCUCUAGAGGUAUGGUAGCACUACUUGUUGCCUAAAGAAUUUGUUAUACAUAUUGAUCAUGAAUCCUUGAAGUAUCUUAAGUGGCAAAGCAAGAUGAAUUGAAGACACGCUAAAUGGGUGGAGUUUAUGGAGUCAUUUCCUUAUGUCAUAAAGUACAAGAAAUGGCAAGUUAAUGUGGUUGAUGAUGCUCUUUCUAAGAGGUAUGCACUGAUAUCUAUGUUGAAUGCAAGGUUGAUGGGUUUUGAACAAGUGAAGGAUCAGUAUGCCAAUGAUUCCUAUUGGUUUUGAACAAGUGAAGGACCAGUAUGCCAAUGAUUCCUAUUUUGCUAAUGUGGUUGCCGAAUGUGCAAAGGGAGCUUGUGAUGGGUUCUUUAUGCAUGAAGGUUACUUGUUCAAAAUGGGCAGAAUGUGUAUUCCUUCAGGUUCGUUACAGGAGUUGCUUGUGCGAGAGGCUCAUAGUGGUGGUCUUAAUGGUCAUUUUGGGGAGAAGAAGACUUAUGAGCUGCUGAAAGAACAUUUUUUUUAGCCUAGUAUGUUACGGGAUGUACACAAGAUGAUUGAAAGAUGUGGUAUUUGUAAGAGAGCAAGGGAUAAAGAGAAUGCAUAUGGACUAUAUAUGCCAUUACCUAUUCCAGAGCAACCAUGGAUGGAAAUUAGCAUAGACUUCGUACUUGGAUUACCAAGAACACAACGUGGGAAGGAUUUAAUAAUGGUGGUGGUUGAUUGAUUCUCCAAAAUGUUCCAUCUCAUUCCUUGUAACAAAACUAACGAUGCAGUACAUGUUGUUGAUUUGUUCUUUCAAGAGAUUGUUUGUUUGCAUGGAGUUCCUAAAAACAUUGUCUCUGAUCGUGAUACAAAGUUUUUAAGCCACUUUUGGAAGACUCCUUGGAGGAAACUUGGAAUGAAGUUACUUUUCAGUACGGCAUGUCAUUCACAAACUGAUGGACAAACUGAGGUAGUAAACUGAACUUUAUCUUCUUUGUUACGAACUGUUAUACAUAAGAAUAUAAAGAGUUGGGAUACUUGUUUACCUAUUACGGAGUUUGCAUAUAAUCGUAGUGUGCAUAGGGCUACAAAAUUUUCAUCAUUUGAUGUUGUGUAUGGCUUUAAUCCUUGUGUUCCUAUUGAUCUUGUUCAUAUUCCAAUUGAUGAGAGGACAUCUAUGGAUGGAAUUAGAAAUGCAGAAUUGAUGAAGAAACUACAUGAGCAGGUUCGACUGCAUAUUAAGGAGAAAACAACAAAGUAUGCUAAACAAGCUAACAAGGGGCGAAAGAUGGUCAGGUUUGAACCUGGAGAUCUUGUUUGGAUUCAUAUUAGUAAGGGCAGAUUUCCAAGCAAAUGUAAGUCCAAGUUGAUGCCAAGAGCUGAUGGCUCAUUUCGGAUUAUAGAGAAGGUGAAUGACAAUGCGUAUAAGGUAGAUCUUCUUAGUGAUUAUAACAUAUCAGCUACUUUUAAUGUGAAAGACUUGACUCUAUACUUGGAUGAUGAUGAAGAUUCUGAUUUGAGGACAAAUCAUUAUCAACCCGGGGCUGAUGAUGUGCAUCAUGGUAAUUAUAAUCCAUCUCGUAAAGCUGAAUCUAAUAUGCAUGAGGAUUCAGAUGGUCCAAUGACAAGAGCGAGAGCGAAACAACUACAACGGGCCUUGACGAAUCAAAUUGCGAUGAUUGAAUCUGCGUCGGAGUUAAAAAUUAACAAUCAGUUUGAAAUUGGUUCAAGGUGCUUAUUUGCCUACAAUUAGAACUUGGAGAUGGGAAAAGCCCUUAAUGGUUCUUUUGAUGCUAGGCUACUUGUAUUUGGAUUGAUAAUGCAAAUAAGUGAAGGAAUUGAUGUUGUUUACGGUCAGAACAGUAGAUGGAUUUGAACCCGAAUUUGAAGUCAUCCAUUGCAUGUGAUAACAAGACUUAUCUAGGUAAAAUUCAAGUUCGGAACGUGAUCUUUCUAGAUUGUCCAACCAUGAUUGCAUUAGACUUUUGUGUCAAAAGUUAUGGCUGUUUUAAAUUUGGUCUACUUAUGUUUCAGAAAUGUAAAAAAAAGCGUGUGUUAGUUAAAUUUGUCUAGUUAUUUUAUUAAAAGUCUGAGUUUUAGGCUUGACUUCUGUCAUGUUGAAUUUUCCUAACUUUGGAGGGAUGUUCCAAUUAUAAAUAUAGUAUCAGAAUAUGUAAUAAAGACUUUUGGCCAAGAUUUGAAACUUAAUUAAGAGAAUUAAGAGUUGUUCUUCCAAAUUGAUUUUUGUGAAGAACCAUACCUGACUUAUCACUCAUCAAUCACAAAGAGUGUGGCGUUGAAAUCCUAGAUUGAUCUUUGUGGCGUCCAGAUCGACUUGUCAAAGUAUCAUUCUAGUCUAUCAUUCAUCUUAUUUAUCUUAAAAUCACUACAAUCCAACCUAAAUAUCAAAAGAAAGACAGCACAACCAGACCCAUCCUUCAUCCAUUUUCGUUAGAAUCAUUGUUGCCGAUUUUCAAAUCAUUCACGGCACAUCAAUUCUAGUGCGAAAGUUAUCUGCGUCGGUGAAGGAUCGACUCCUGUAGUUUAUGCACUGCGAGAUUUAGGAUUUGUCAAUGCUUUUGGGGUUCAUAGACACCCCUUCUUCUCUCUUAAACAUAAGAGGAUGGUUUAUGAGCUUGAAUAUGCAGAAAAUUCCUUUGAUUUUGUGUUCUCAGGAGACCUAGACAAGGUUUCAGUCCCUGCCAUUGUUGUGCUCGAGAUCGAGCGUGUUCUGAAGCCUGGUGGAAUUGGGGCUAUUCUUGGUGGCCUUAAUAGUUUGAACGCCAAUAGCCUGAUCAGGUCUGCCAUGCCUUUGUCUUCAUUAUUGAAGAAUUCCAACAUUGUAUACGGUGGUUGUUUUCAAGAAAAGAAUUUAUAGUGUUGGCUACUUUCAGCAAUACCAGCUGCCAGCUGAUUGCCCGUCUAUCAUGAAUAAUAGACCUCAUUUGGAGAAUUUAGAACCUCUCACGGAGAUCAAGCAAGGGGAACAUGAGCAAAGCAUAGCUUAUUUGCCCAAGUUCAUUGAUUUGCCCGCUAGGAAGCAGUUAGUGUAUGUUGAGAAAAGCACAACAAAUUUUUUUUUUAAAAUUAGUUUAAAGUGAAUAAAAAUUUUUCGUACUGUAAUUUUAAUUUUAUUUUUAAUAAUAUUUUAUUUAAUUUUGUAGUUUUUAUUUGAUGAAUUUUAUAUAUAAUGAAAUUAUAGAUAGUUUUUAUUAAAAUAAUUUAUAUAUAUAUAAAAUAAUUUAUUUCAUGAUAUAAUAAUAAUAAUAAUAUAUAUUAUUUAUCCUGAGAUCGAAACGAGUCCCGUGUUCUUGGCUCGCAUGUUUGGCUGCCUGGCUUCUUAGAUCACCUGCAUUUGUAUAGCCUUGGCUUCCUGUCGAUGGACAAGAAUCUAGAGGAAGGGAAGCCGAAAUGCCGUGGUUGAUCAGAUCAUUAUGUAAUCUUGCUAUUUUCACAAAUCAACUUUUUUCCAUUUUUAUAAAACGAAACAAAAAACCUUUUGUGGAGUAAUAACGGUGGCAAAAUGCGUACCAAUCACUCUGUUGCCGUUUUAUGCAAGUCAUUUUAUCCUUCCACCACAAGGAAAUGCCAUGCGGUGAGGCAGGAGAAUGAACGGAUGACCACAAUUCAAUACAAUCCUUUCCUAUAAAUUCAUGCAGCCAAAUUCAUGUACUGUGUCGUAUUCUUUUUUAAUAUCUGUUAUUCAAGUUGAGAAUUGGGGCAUGCUGUUUGUCUGCCUAUGAAUUUUGAAGACAUUUUCUUAUUUAUUCUUAGUCUAAAAUCACAUGCAUUUAUUAACAUACACUAAAAGAGCUGUUUUUUCCCUUUUUUUUUCCUUUUUUUUUUUUUUUUUUACUUUAGAUCAAUUAUUGUAUACUAUCAUGUGGAUUGAAGCGAUGGUAUUUUUUUUUUUUUUGUAAUUUUUAAUUUGUUUUUAAAACUUUUAUAUUGCAUGAUUUAUCUUUUUUAAGCCUAAAAUAACACAGUACUCAAUUGCGUAUUUCUUUUUAGAGAGAUGGUUGAACUGAAAAUAAAAAGCACGGGUAAAGUAGAGUGCUGGAUUUUAAAUUUGUUUGAAAAGUUUAUUUUUACCCCCUUAAUUUGUUUUAGCUAUUAGGUUAUCUUUUAAUUUUAAAAAAUUCAAUUUUGAUACUGAACUUUAUUUUUAUUUUUUUAGUUAUUUUUUGGUGAGAGGAGAGAGAGACUUAUCGAAUUUCAACGUAGAAAGAGACUUGUCAUUAACAAUGAUUCUAGCCACUAAAAUUAUCGAUUUUUUUGUCAAAUGGUUCCAUAUAAUAAGGUGAGUUCAAAUUAGGCAUGUGUGUUUGUUUUUUACCUUAAAAAUAUCUAAAAAACAUAUAUGAGUCUGGAAAGAAUUUUUGUUUUAGUUUGAUUUUGGUUUUUGAGGUGUUUUUUUUUUUUUUUUUUUGCGUUUUGUAGGUAAUUGAUUGGUUUAAACAAGUUUCUAGGGUGUUUUAUGUAAAAAAAAAAAAAAGGUUCACAAUGAGUUUGUUGAUGAAAAAAUUAUGAAUCCUGUUUUUUCGAGCCAUUAUGAGGAUUUCGAGAUGACGUGUUGUCCUUUUAUUUCCAAAUAUUUAAAGGCCCGCACAUGGGCUGUUGCUUGAUUAGUUAGGUGUUUGACUUGGUUUACCAGGCCCAAUAACACUUAACCUUAUUUUUUUUUAAUGUGUUUGAUCAGGCUGUACUUUGACUCAUUAGGUCAAUCAGGUCAUAUAAAAUCAAAUUUAAUUUAUUUAAUUUAAAAUCAGGAUACAAUCCAAUAAGUCUUCGAUUUUAAUUGAAAUAUAUUAAAUAAUAUCUAUUUGAGAUAUUAUUUUAUUGAAUAAAAAAAUACAUUAGGGAUUUAAGAUGAAGGGCUUUUAAUCAAAGAGAUACAUUUUUUAUUUAUUUAUAAUAUCUAGAAUUUUUUGGGUAUUGUUUUUUAUUUUUAUUAAAUAAAGUAAAUAGAAAAAACAAAUGUCUUUUUCAUGGAAAAUAAAAUUAACAAGAGAAGUAGAGGCUAUACUAGCAUAUCAUUAUGUUACAAUACGAUAUAAAUUAUUAGUUUUGAAGAUAAGUUAUUGAAAAAUAAUUAAAUGAGAAAAAUUUAUCGGUUUUUUGUGGUAUGAGAUUAUAUACCUUAAUCUAUAAUUAUAUAUUUCUUGAUUGAGUUUUUUUUAUUGUUAACAACUUUCUUUUAAUAUUUAUUGGCUAAAAAUAAUUCCUUUUUUAUUUUAUUAAAUACAUGUGGAAUUUUCAUUUUACAACUAGAAUAUUUCUUGAUGUUAAGAAAAAACACUAAAAGCACUUGUAAAUAUUUUCUUCCUUUCAGAUUAGCUUAUGAUUCAACCACUGUUUUUGUGUUUUACAUUAUAAUCAUUGAAAUAAAAUAAUUAUAAUAUUAUGUAGGAUAUUAUUCCAUUAAAUGUCUUUCAGUUUUAAAUUUGUAUUCAAAUAAGAUUAUAACAAUAUUUUAUCUUAAUAAAUGCUUUUUGCUAUGGUCCUUCUUCUUUUUUUUUUUUAAUUUCUUAAAUUUUAAUAAAAUUUGUUAUAAUUAAAUAGAUAAGAUUAUAUUUAAGAUAUCAUUUUACUAGAGAUCAUUCAAUUACAAUAUAACUAAAAAAUAAAAAAUUAAGAGCUUCUAGCAUGAGAUUAAAUAUCUCUCUCUCUCUCUCCCUCUCUCUCUCUCUCUCUCUAUAUAUAUAUAUAUAUAUAUAUAUAACAAUGGUAUGAUGUUGUAGUUUUGGUUUAGUGUUGAUAACUUUGUUUUUUUUUUUUUGUAUUUAUCAACACAUGCAUGUAAUUUUCAUUUAGUUUUAUUAAAUACAUGUAUUAAUUUUUUAAUUUACAAGUAAUUUUUUUAUUAAAUUUGAAAAAUGCAGUGGCAAUGCUAGCACAUGUUAACUGAUUAGUACUUCAUUAAUGGAGGUUUUUUUUCCUGCAGGGGAUUUGAUGGACUGUGUAUCAUUCAUAAUGCACCUAAAUUUUCUAUUGUGACUCUUUUCCUCUACAUGAAAUGCAAUCUAUUUACAGUGUUUGAAAAUAUGGAUCAAUUUGUAUUUUUUAAAUUGUUUUUAUAUAUUUUAGAUUAUUUUGAUAUAUUAAUUUCAAAAAUAAUUUUAAAAAAAUAAAAAAUAUAUUAUUUUAAUACAUUUCAACAUGAAAAAUACUUUAAAAAAUAAUCACAAUUACAUUUCCAAAACAUCCCUUAAUAUCUUACUUAACAAGGGUUCUUGAAAGUCAAUAUAUUUAUCACAUAAUAAUUAUUUUUUAAAAUAUUUUUUAUUUAAAAAUAUAUUAAAAUAAUAUUUUUUAUUUUUAAAAGUAAUUUUUAAAUUAACAUCUUAAAAUAUCUGAAAACAUAAAAAACCUAAUUUAAAACAAAAAAAAUUAAAAAUACUUUUACAACAUAAAAAUAGACGUACACCAAAAUAAAUAGACGUUCAUCUCCUAGGAAGAACAAGUAUGGCCGCAGAUAAAAUCGAGCAAGGAGCUAGGACAGCCUUUUAUCAUCAUUUUAGUUUUGUGGCAAGAAAUAUUUUAAUUAUAGACUCAAUCUGAAAAACAUAUCUCAUCAUAGCUGCAGGAAGCAACGGAAGACACUUUAAAAAAGCGCUGACACCACAGUUUUUUUUUUAAAAAAUAACUGUUAAUUUUUUAAAAUUAUUAUAAUCUUAUAAAAAAUAAAUUAAAAUUUUAUUUAAUAUUAUAUUAGUUUUUACUUUUUUAAAUUAUUUUUCACUUGAAAAAUAUUAAGUCCAUAUUUUUUAUAUUUUCUUUGAAGAUUUUAAUAUGCCAUGUAAAUAAUAAUAAAAUUUUUUUAAAAAAAUUACUUCAAUAUAUUUUUAAUCAAAAAAUAUUUUUCUCAAAAUAACAUAAACCACAAUAUUAAACACAUUGAAAACCUAAUUCUUUAAAAAUACAAUAUUGAAAAAUAAAAUAAAAUUAUUAUACAAGUCAAUAAUAAUUUAUCUCUUCAUCAAGAGUCCCAAUAAGUUUUAAUUUAAAAGAUAAAUAGAAUUAUAGUAUAAAAUACUUUUCAAAAUAAUUUUUUUAAUUUUAUUUUUAAUAUAAACAUAUCAAAAUUAUAUAAAAAUAAUAAUUUCAUAUUUUUUUAAAUCAAAUCUUGCGGUGAUUAACAUCUCUAAAUACCCAUUUGACACUGUAGCUACGGUUGCGGUUUACAAUAAAAAUAGGACUUUGAUGUUUGGUAAUCUUAAAUCGUAUUUUUAUUUGACAUGGGUCCCAUGCAAAAACUGAGAUUGGAUCCCAGCUUGUGAAAAAUGACUCACACCUGCUUUUCACUCCAUGCUCUCCUCUCAUUGAAACUUUUUUUCUUGUAACUAAAAACUUUCAUUGCAUGAGGUAACAACUCUAUUCUCUUCCCCUCUGUUAAACUUGAUAUGGACGAAGAUUGACGAACAAACACUUCAGCACUCAAGGUUUACAAUGGCCAUUGGACCAGGUAGUUUGGUGUGUCAAUGGCCAUCAUGCUAAAAAUCUUUCUAUGAUGGGUCCUACACUUUAGUGUCUCUCUUGAUUCUUGAGGAACAAGGAUCAAUCUGUAAAAAACACAAGAGAAAGAGAGUUUGUUGCCUGUUGAGAUGAAGUAGUUUUUUGUGUAAGCAUGGAGGCAGUAAUUCUAGAAGGGGCUGUCUUUCUUUUUCUGCAAGUUGACCAAAAAUUGCAUACACUAUCAAAGUAUUAUCAUAACUUCUGUCUUUGUACACCUAAAAAAAUUAUAUUUAUAUUUUUUUUUGAAUUCACAUAUAAUUGUAUUUAAACUUUAAUUUUGUAAAAAAUAGAACAUGUUUAUAGAUCUAUUUUUUUAUUUUAUUUUAUAUAUAAAAAAUUAUUAUAUAAUAUUUUUAAUCAAAUACAUGUUUUUUAAAAUUUAUUUUUUAAAAAACAACAACUAAAUUGUAGUUGCAUAUCAAUGACACAACAUAACUAUAUUAGAAGACGAUUACAAGAUGAUAAGGUUUUUUUCGAGUAUGGUCACAAUCCCGCUCAAUUAUUUCACCUUAGUAUCUCUCAUUUCAGAUGACUUUUUAUCUGAUAUUGUACCUCGCUCAACUAUUUAAUGAUCUCAGUAGCUUUUACAUAUAGAUUUUGUAUAAGAUGAAAUUGCAAAUAAUUUGAUGAAACAAUAAAAAUCUUUUAUUAUUGUACAAUGAUUAUUUAUUUUGUUAUAUAAUUAUACUUCUAAAACAACAAAAUUUUGCCAUAUAUAUAUAUAUAUAUAAUGUCCUUUUCAGCAACCAUGAAAUUGCAAACUGUUUUUUAAAACCACAACCAUAAUACAAAAUAUAAUCUAAAUUUUUUUAUGCUCCAUCCUCGGAUGACCAUAAUGACCUCAUCUCAGCAACCCACUUGGGAGAUGCUACCUGUGAAAAUCAACAAGCACGUCCUCCAUCAACAAUCAUCUUCUUCUGUUUUACCCCUUUCAAAAGUAGAGAAUCAUGAAGACAUUCCAAACCCAGUAGUGUUGAGAAACCAAACAUAUUCUAUAUUUCGAAUUCUUAAUAGUUCAAAGAAAUUGCCACCAAGGACUUCCAAAUGCUGGUUGAUGGCGUUGGCUUGCAUGUUUGGCACAAUGCCAGUAUUUUAACCUUGCCGCUUGCAUAUUUUCCCGUUUGAUUAUUACAGAAGCAGGGGAUUUGAAAGGAAAAUAAGACCAGCAAACUACUAUCCACAUACAAGUGGCAGCAGCACCUGUUUAGUCACUCAUCAGGCCCAUUGUUGACCUUAAUCUCUAGGAGCAUGUCAACUGGUUGCCAUGCAGAUGGGGCAUCUGUUCGUUUGGAACCUCAAAACCUUUGCACAUCCACUGCACAUACACUGCAACGUGGGAGAAGAGAAGGGUGAAAAAAAACAAAGAAAGAAAGCAAAAGCAAAAAGACACUAGGCUAAUGUGUCACCAACAGAUAUCGACUGGAUUUCUAAAAUCAGAUUACUUAAAUAACCACUUAAAUGGAAAUUCAUGUCGAAGCAUUUUAGUCUAUUAAUUCACCAUGGUUACAUUGUUAAUGCACUGGCAGUAGUACACAUCAUUCCAGACAGUUCAGCCUUGAACCUUCACAUGGAAUUCACAAGACUCUUUUAAUGCAGCAUUUUUGCAAUUGCAUUGGAUAUAGACACGAAACAGCAGGAAAAGUGUCAUGCUCACAUCCGUUGCUAUAUAUGUUCAAAGAAACCGUUUUCUGUAGCCUUCCUUCACAACUUACCAGAAUGAUUUUUCACCAUGAUAAAUAGUCCUUGCUUGAAAAACAAUUCCUAAAAUAUAGACAGUGGGUAAAGAGCAUUUCUUCCUUGUUUCUUCCCCUUCAUGAUCUAAACUACCCCAGCCCAGUGAAAAAGUAAAAAUGAGAGAGAAAGAGAGGCAAAAGAAAAAUAAAGAAAAUGGGGCUUACCAUGUGCCGGCAAGGAAGAACGGUAGUGUCCCGUGGUUCUGACAGGCAAAUGACACAUUCUUCACGUGGGUCAUUUGCAUUUCCAAUCCCGUAUAUCUCCUGAAGCUCAUAUCUCAUCCCAUUCACCAAGAGGAUCUGCUUCAUCACCCUUACUUGGUACUCACCUUUCUCCAUCUCGAACACUGCAUGUGUUAUCUGAGAGUUGAUAGCUCCAGACAUUUGGUUUCCUUCUGUUCCCUUUUGAUUAGCAGGGGAUGCCUCUGCUUUUACUGCUAGAGGAUAGGCAUCCAUCUCACCCUCAUUUACCAGCUCUUUCUCCUCAAACAAGGUGAAAUCAAUCCCUGUCCCAGAAGGCUGUCUGAACUUCUGGCCCAGACCUUGUUGGAAAUUAACUGUUACUGGUGGAAGGAGGUCUGCCUUCGUUGGUGUCAGGAUACAAUCCUCGCCUUCUUUUGCAAAGAAAAUAAUAGUGAUGCUGUUUGCAGAUCAAAGAAAUGCCGAGUGUUGCAAGAAAUUAAUACCAGAUGCUCAAUAACAAGAAAUGCAAAAGAGGAAAAAAUAAUUCAGACAUUCAGCUGAAAUGCAUAUAACCAAGAUUAAAACCAAUUUCUAUGACUGAACACAAAGCUUCUAUGAAUUCAAUAAACUCAGAGUGUAUCAGAAUUUAUGCAUGUCUUGCAAAAGAAAGUACCAAGAAAGCAUCCACAAUAUAUCAAAAAGAUCAAUGAUGAUACCGACAGUAGCAAUUAGGAAAUACUCCCAAGCAAAGUCAAAUGCAUGGAAGUAAAAAAAAAAAAAAAACAGUUCAUCAUUCUACAAUCAUUUACCAUUCCCUUUGUUUAUGAGUUACUAAGCUAAAUGCUGAACGAUGAUUAUGAGAUUGUUAGCCAGACUUUUUCACAGAGUAUUAUUUUGUGAUAGAAAUUGACAUGAUUAGGACAAAUGAUCUACAUUUACUAUCAUUUCCUUUUAUAGAACACCAUAGUUUCCAGCUAAGAAAGUGACAUGUACUGAAAAUGAUAGUGUCUUUCACUCGAUUCAAGCGAUUGAAACUCUUAUGAAUGACAUCCAAUUGAUAAAAAUUGCAUUUUUGGGCUCCAAGCUUGAUUUUCCAUAAUGAUUAUGAGCACUUAAAGGGCGACAACUUUCUUUUUUAUUUUUAUUUUUUUAUGAGGACACAACUCAAAAAUAAAAGGUCCACUAUCCAAUUACAGCAUAACACUGAAGAGGGCAAAAUGAGGGAGUUUACAAGCUUCCCAGCCCUCGAACCUUAUUGCAGGAGAUAGGAGCGGUGCUCUCAAGAUUCAAACCCCAAACUUCACAGAUGCGUGUCUAUUUUAACAUUCCCCAAGAAUGACCCCUAUGUAAUUGGAUUGGAAGAACAAAAAACCAUUCCAUUUAUCAGUCAUGAUAAAAUCCCAUUAAGAACAGAAUGCCAUAGUCUUUAAAACAUAGCACAAGCUGAGAAACCUAACUAAACACCCGUUCCAAUGGUCUCUUCACCGAAGAGUCAUUCAGAAAUAACCCCAGAUUCAUCAUCUCGUCAAUUUUGUGAACAAUCCCAAUUUCUAAGACAAGAUUAGAUGUCUUAAGCAGGCCCAAGGAUCUCUGAUUAGGAAAAUCCUCUGAAAUACCCAUGAAUCCAUAACUUGCCCGAAAAUAAAUAUAUUCUACCAAAUCAAUCUUCACUACACAAAAGGAUAGGUUUCGCCUUCGGGCAGUUAAACCAUUUCCUUCAAGCUGUCAAAUCACCAUACAAAACUCCAGGUAUGCUAAACACAAAAUUCUAAUGUAAUCCCUAAUUAGAACGUCAAGUUAGCUCUUGCUUUCUACCUUUCUAUCCAAGGAGUAACUUUGACACUCGUACAUCUAUAAAAGUGGAUUCACUCCGAGAACAAUUCUCAACAAUGAUAGCAAAAAAAAUACAAUUUUAGAAUAUUGGCAACAUAUCAAGAUGAUUAUCACCAAGUAGUGAUCAAACCAUGUAAAAUGAAAUUAUUUGUAAAUCAUCCACUGACCUACUAGCAAGAAGUUAAACCAAGGAGUCAACAAUCAAGAUUUUAUAUAAAUACUCAUUCAAAAUUCUCUCAAGUCAAAAACUUUCAAAGUCAAAUUACUUUACAAAGAACAAGCUCCUUCAACAAUCAAAAUCCAGUACUGCUAUCAAACAAUGACGGAAAAAACCUUAAAAAAAAAAAAUCUUUCUACACAUGCAAUAACAAAAACACAGCAUCAAAAUAAAAACAAAAUUUAAAACAAAGCUUUAACCUUUACCUUCCAGCAACAGAAGCAUCAAACGUGAAUGUAACAAGAUAGCUCCCUGGAUUCUCCUCGUCCGGUUCAAUCCUCAAACUCUCCUUCUUCAAAUUAACAUCAUUCCUUAUAGUAACCGCCACGUUGUUUCUGCUGCUGAUGUUGGCCAUGAUGAAGUUUUGGGUUGGGUUGGACUGUUUCUGUCUUUUUUAGGUUCACAGUUUGCUAAAAAAACAGGUGAGAGAAUUAUCCAGUAGCUUUGUUUAGCUGUAACUGACAGAAGCGGAUCUGGAACCUACAACGGUUCUGUUUUUUGUUUUUUUGUUUUAUUUUUGUUUUAAUGGCAAUCAUAGAAAGGAAGGAAACGAAGGGAAAGUUUUCGGUGAGGAAGGAAAUGGAGGGAAACAACAAGGAGAUUUUUUAUUUCUGCUUUUGUUUGCUGUUUAUACAACAACAACAAGGAGAAGAGAGGGAGGAGGAGGAGAAAUGAUUUUGCAAAAGGAGAAGAACACAAGGGAUGAAGAGAGGAGGGAGGAGGAGGAGGAGGAGGAAUCCGGGGGUGGGUGGUGUAAUGGGAUUGCGUAAAG